rnacentral:rRNA from 1 species
GACAGAGGGUGCAAACGUUGCUCGGAAUUACUGGGCGUAAAGCGCGUGUAGGUGGAUUGGUGUGUCAGAUGUGAAAUCCCUGGGCUCAACCCAGGAACUGCACCUGAAACUACCAGUCUUGAGUGGUGGAGAGGGAAGUGGAAUUCCUGGUGUAGAGGUGAAAUUCGUAGAUAUCAGGAGGAACACCAGUGGCGAAGGCGGCUUCCUGGACAACAACUGACGCUGAGACGCGAAAGCGUGGGGAGCAAACAGG